UACGGGGGGGGCAAGCGUUGUUCGGAUUUAUUGGGCGUAAAGAGCGUGUAGGCGGCCAGGUAGGUCUGCUGUGAAAACUCGAGGCUUAACCUCGAGCUGUCGGCGGAAACCAUCUGGCUAGAGUCCGGAAGAGGAGAAUGGAAUUCCCGGUGUAGCGGUGAAAUGCGCAGAUAUCGGGAAGAACACCCGUGGCGAAGGCGGUUCUCUGGGACGGUACUGACGCUGAGACGCGAAAGCGUGGGGAGCGAACAGG
rnacentral:rRNA from 1 species